rnacentral:rRNA from 1 species
UGGCUCAGUAACACGUGGAGAAUCUAACCUUUGGUGGAGGAUAACCUCGGGAAACUGAGAAUAAUACUCCAUAAACAUAGGAUGCUGGAAUGCUUCUAUGUUGAAAGGCAACGCCAAAGGAUGACUCUGCGACCUAUCAGGCUGUAGUGAGUGUAAUGGACUCACUAACCUGCAACGGGUACGGGUGUUGGAAGACAUUGCCCAGAGAUGGACUCUGAGACAUGAGUCCAGGUUCUACGGAACGCAGCAGGCGCGAAAACUCCGCAAUGUACGAAAGUACGACGGGGGAAUUCUGAGUGCUUACGCCUUGCGUAGGCUGUUUUCUUGUCUAAAAAACAAGGAGAGUAAGGGCUGGGUAAGACGGGUGCCAUCUCGUGCAAUUCUGCACUUAUUGUGUUCGUUGCACGAAGCACAAGCCGCCGCGGUAAUACCCGCGGCCCGAGUGGUGCUCAUUAUUAUUGAGCCUAAAACGUCCGUAGCCGGUUUAAUAAAUUCUUGGGUAAAUCAUAUCGCUUAACGAUAUGAAUUCUGAGAACACUGCUAAACUCGGGAAUGGGAGAGGCCAGAGGUACUUUCAGGGUAGGGGUAAAAUCCCGUAAUCCUGAGAGGACCACCGGUGGCGUAGGCGUCUGGCUAGAACAUAUUCGACGGUAAGGGACGAAGCCCUGGGGCGCAAACGGGAUUAGAUACCCCGGUAGUCCAGGGUGUAAACGCUGUAGAUUUGGUGUUGGAAAUCCUACGGGGAUUCCCAGUGCCGGAGAGAAGUUGUUAAAUCUACUGCUUGGGGAGUACGGUCGCAAGACUGAAACUUAAAGGAAUUGGCGGGGGAGCACCGCAACGGGUGGAGCGUGCGGUUUAAUUGGAUUCAACGCCGAGAAACUCACCGGGGGCGACCAUUAUAUGAA